ensembl:snRNA U6 U6 spliceosomal RNA
GUGCUCGCUUCGGCAGCACAUAUACUAAAAUUGGAACGAUACAGGGAAGCUUAGCAUGGUCCCUGUGCAAGGAUGCACAUAAAUGGCAAAAGGAACACUGUAGAUAU